rnacentral:rRNA from 1 species
AAACGUUAGAGUUUGAUCCUGGCUCAGGACGAACGCUGGCGGCGUGCUUAAAACAUGCAAGUCGAACGGAGAUUUUAGAGAGCUUGCUCUUUGAAAUCUUAGUGGCGGACGGGUGAGUAACACGUGAGCAACCUGCCUAUCACAGGGGAAUAACACUUAGAAAUAGGUGCUAAUACCGCAUAUGACCACAAACCGGCAUCGGUUAGGGGUGAAAGGAGUUAAAUCUGGUGAUAGAGGGGCUUGCGUAUCAUUAGCUUGUUGGUGAGGGUAACGGCCCACCAAGGCGACGAUGAUUAGCCGAUCUGAGAGGAUGACCGGCCACACUGGAACUGAGAUACGGUCCAGACUCCUACGGGAGGCAGCAGUUAGGAAUAUUGGGCAAUGGAGGAAACUCUGACCCAGCAACGCCGCGUGAAGGAUGAAGGUU